rnacentral:lncRNA from 1 species
AACGUAUGUGUUCGGCAAUAAUUGUGGAGACUGUGGAAUAUAGAUAAAUUUCAUUAAUUAUAUAUUGUGCACUAGUAUGAAAUGUAACGAUCCCCUUCAAAUCCCAAUCUACAUGGAUUUUGGAGUAAAACAAACUGUGCAAGACGAUACCUCGUAGAUUGACUCGUCGUCAGUGCUCGUAUCUGCAAUUGACUUGUUGUCGGUGCUGGUAGACGACAGACAUCCAUUCACGCAGUCACGCCACACUGGGUUCAAGCAAUUACAGCACAUGUUGAUGAUCCCCGAUAGACACGGAGACUGUCCGUACCUGCAGUUGCGGCACCUCUUGAAUCUGUUCGCGGCCACGGAUGGCUUUGCUCCAGCUUUUCCUUUGUUCGCUGCCGAGGACGGCUUCGCGGCAGGUUUUGCUGGCUUUCUCAUCUCGGUGGCAGCGGCGGUGAUGGUGUUGAA